GAUGAACGCUAGCUACAGGCUUAACACAUGCAAGUCGAGGGGCAGCAUGAGACGGAGAUUCGUCGAAGUCUUGAUGGCGACCGGCGCAAGGGUGCGUAACGCGUGAGCAACUUGCCCGUUUCUGGGGAAUAACCGGUGGAAACGCCGACUAAUACCCGAUGGCGUGGUCACUCCGCAUGGGGUUUCCACUAAAGGUUUUCCGGCCGCGGAUGAGGAUGCGUAUGAUUAGGUAGUAGGCGGGGUAACGGCCCACCUAGCCUUCGAUCAUUAGGGGUUCUGAGAGGAAGGUCCCCCACACUGGAACUGAGACACGGUCCAGACUCCUACGGGAGGCAGCAGUGAGGAAUAUUGGUCAAUGGGCGAGAGCCUGAACCAGCCAAGUAGCGUGAAGGAAGACUGCCCCUAAUGGGUUGUAAAACUUCUUUUGUUCGGGAAUAAAGUGCAGUAUGUAUACUGUUUUGUAUGUACCGUUCGAAUAAGCAUCGGCUAAUUCCGUG
rnacentral:rRNA from 1 species